rnacentral:rRNA from 1 species
AGGUAAGCUACUAAGAGCGAAUGGUGGAUGCCUUGACUGGUAAAGGCGAUGAAGGACGUACUAGACUGCGAUAAGCUACGGGGAGCUGUCAAGAAGCUUUGAUCCGUAGAUUUCCGAAUGGGGCAACCCAAUGUAUAGAGAUAUACAUUACCUAUAUAGGAGCGAACGAGGGGAAUUGAAACAUCUUAGUACCCUCAGGAAAAGAAAUCAAUAGAGAUUGCGUCAGUAGCGGCGAGCGAAAGCGCAAGAGGGCAAACCCAGUGCUUGCACUGGGGGUUGUAGGACUGCAAUGUGCAAGAGGUAAGUUUAGCAGAACAUUCUGGAAAGUAUAACCAUAGAGGGUGAUAGUCCCGUAUGCGAAAAACAAACCUUAGCUAGCAGUAUCCUGAGUAGGGCGGGACACGAGGAAUCCUGUCUGAAUCCGGGUCGACCACGAUCCAACCCUAAAUACUAAUACCAGAUCGAUAGUGCACAAGUACCGUGAGGGAAAGGUGAAAAGAACUGAGGUGAUCAGAGUGAAAUAGAACCUGAAACCAUUUGCUUACAAUCAUUCAGAGCCCUAUGUAGCAUACAGGGUGAUGGACUGCCUUUUGCAUAAUGAGCCUGCGAGUUGUGGUGUCUGGCAAGGUUAAGCAAACGCGAAGCCGUAGCGAAAGCGAGUCUGAAUAGGGCGCUUAGUCAGAUGCUGCAGACCCGAAACGAAGUGAUCUAUCCAUGAGCAAGUUGAAGCUAGUGUAAGAACUAGUGGAGGACUGAACCCAUAGGCGUUGAAAAGCCCCGGGAUGACUUGUGGAUAGGGGUGAAAGGCCAAUCAAACUUCGUGAUAGCUGGUUCUCUCCGAAAUAUAUUUAGGUAUAGCGUUGUGUCGUAAUAUAAGGGGGUAGAGCACUGAAUGGGCUAGGGCAUACACCAAUGUACCAAACCCUAUCAAACUCCGAAUACCUUAUAUGUAAUCACAGCAGUCAGGCGGCGAGUGAUAAAAUCCGUCGUCAAGAGGGAAACAACCCAGACUACCAGCUAAGGUCCCUAAAUCUUACUUAAGUGGAAAACGAUGUGAAGUUACUUAAACAACCAGGAGGUUGGCUUAGAAGCAGCCAUCCUUUAAAGAAAGCGUAAUAGCUCACUGGUCUAGUGAUUUUGCGCGGAAAAUAUAACGGGGCUAAAGUAAGUACCGAAGCUGUAGACUUGCACACAACUUAGAUUAUUUAAGUUUAGAAUAUGAGAAACUAAGUUAUAUGUUUAGUUAUAUUUUUACUGAUUUUUAUAGAGUAAAGAUAGAAAUAAAACUUAGUAAAAUCAGUAAAAAUAUUCUUAGACUAAAGUUAAGUAGUUUAAGUUGUGUGCAAGUGGUAGGAGAGCGUUCUAUUUGCGUCGAAGGUAUACCGGUAAGGAGUGCUGGAGCGAAUAGAAGUGAGCAUGCAGGCAUGAGUAGCGAUAAUUAAUGUGAGAAUCAUUAACGCCGUAAACCCAAGGUUUCCUACGCGAUGCUCGUCAUCGUAGGGUUAGUCGGGUCCUAAGUCGAGUCCGAAAGGGGUAGACGAUGGCAAAUUGGUUAAUAUUCCAAUACCAACAUUAGUGUGCGAUGGAAGGACGCUUAGGGCUAAGGGGGCUAGCGGAUGGAAGUGCUAGUCUAAGGUCGUAGGAGGUUAUACAGGCAAAUCCGUAUAACAAUACUCCGAGAACUGAAAGGCUUUUUGAAGUCUUCGGAUGGAUAGAAGAACCCCUGAUGCCGUCGAGCCAAGAAAAGUUUCUAAGUUUAGCUAAUGUUGCCCGUACCGUAAACCGACACAGGUGGGUGGGAUGAGUAUUCUAAGGCGCGUGGAAGAACUCUCUUUAAGGAACUCUGCAAAAUAGCACCGUAUCUUCGGUAUAAGGUGUGGUUAGCUUUGUAUUAGGAUUUACUCCGAAAGCAAGGAAACUUACAACAAAGAGUCCCUCCCGACUGUUUACCAAAAACACAGCACUCUGCUAACUCGUAAGAGGAUGUAUAGGGUGUGACGCCUGCCCGGUGCUCGAAGGUUAAUUGAUGGGGUUAGCAUUAGCGAAGCUCUUGAUCGAAGCCCGAGUAAACGGCGGCCGUAACUAUAACGGUCCUAAGGUAGCGAAAUUCCUUGUCGGUUAAAUACCGACCUGCAUGAAUGGCGUAACGAGAUGGGAGCUGUCUCAAAGAGGGAUCCAGUGAAAUUGUAGUGGAGGUGAAAAUUCCUCCUACCCGCGGCAAGACGGAAAGACCCCGUGGACCUUUACUACAGCUUGACACUGCUACUUGGAUAAGAAUGUGCAGGAUAGGUGGGAGGCUUUGAGUAUAUGACGCCAGUUGUAUAUGAGCCAUUGUUGAGAUACCACUCUUUCUUAUUUGGGUAGCUAACCAGCUUGAGUUAUCCUCAAGUGGGACAAUGUCUGGUGGGUAGUUUGACUGGGGCGGUCGCCUCCCAAAUAAUAACGGAGGCUUACAAAGGUUGGCUCAGAACGGUUGGAAAUCGUUCGUAGAGUAUAAAGGUAUAAGCCAGCUUAACUGCAAGACAUACAAGUCAAGCAGAGACGAAAGUCGGUCUUAGUGAUCCGGUGGUUCUGUGUGGAAGGGCCAUCGCUCAAAGGAUAAAAGGUACCCCGGGGAUAACAGGCUGAUCUCCCCCAAGAGCUCACAUCGACGGGGAGGUUUGGCACCUCGAUGUCGGCUCAUCGCAUCCUGGGGCUGGAGCAGGUCCCAAGGGUAUGGCUGUUCGCCAUUUAAAGCGGUACGCGAGCUGGGUUCAGAACGUCGUGAGACAGUUCGGUCCCUAUCUGCCGUGGGCGUAAGAAGAUUGAAGAGAUUUGACCCUAGUACGAGAGGACCGGGUUGAACAAACCACUGGUGUAGCUGUUGUUCUGCCAAGAGCAUCGCAGCGUAGCUAAGUUUGGAAAGGAUAAACGCUGAAAGCAUCUAAGCGUGAAGCCAACUCUAAGAUGAAUCUUCUCUAAGCUCUCUAGAAGACUACUAGUUUGAUAGGCUGGGUGUGUAAUGGAUGAAAGUCCUUUAGCUGACCAGUACUAAUAGAGCGUUUGGCUUAUCUUU